rnacentral:rRNA from 1 species
AUGGUUAAGUGACGAAGCGUAUACGGUGGAUGCCUUGGCAGUUAGAGGCGAUGAAGGACGUGUAAGUCUGCGAAAAGCUGUGGUGAGCCGACAAAAUGCAUUUGAGCCACAGAUGUCCGAAUGGGGAAACCCACCUGUUUACAGGUAUCGUUGCGUGAAUACAUAGCGUAACGAGGCGAACGAGGGGAACUGAAACAUCUAAGUACCCUUAGGAAAAGAAAUCAAACGAGAUUCCCCUAGUAGCGGCGAGCGAACGGGGAACAGCCCUUAAGCUGUUUAGUGUGUAGUGGAAUCCUUUGGGAAGAGGAGCGAUACAGGGUGAUAGCCCCGUACACAAAGCGUGCUUUACAGUGAAACGAGUAGGUCGGGACACGUGUUAUCUUGACUGAAUAUGGGGGGACCAUCCUCCAAGGCUAAAUACUCCUAACUGACCGAUAGUGAACCAGUACCGUGAGGGAAAGGCGAAAAGAACCCCUGUGAGGGGAGUGAAAUAGAACCUGAAACCGUAUACGUACAAGCAGUGGGAGCCCUUCGGGGUGACUGCGUACCUUUUGUAUAAUGGGUCAGCGACUUAUAUUUAGUAGCAAGGUUAAGCGAAUAGCGGAGCCGUAGCGAAAGCGAGUGUUAACUGCGCGUUAGUUGCUAGGUAUAGACCCGAAACCCGGUGAUCUAGCCAUGAGCAGGUUGAAGGUUGAGUAACAUCAACUGGAGGACCGAACCCACUGACGUUGAAAAGUCAGGGGAUGACUUGUGGCUGGGGGUGAAAGGCCAAUCAAACCGGGAGAUAGCUGGUUCUCCCCGAAAUCUAUUUAGGUAGAGCCUCGGAYGAAUUCCAUUGGGGGUAGAGCACUGUUAAGGCUAGGGGGUCAUCCCGACUUACCAACCCUUUGCAAACUCCGAAUACCAAUGAGAACUAUCCGGGAGACACACGGCGGGUGCUAACGUCCGUCGUGGAGAGGGAAACAACCCAGACCGCCAGCUAAGGUCCCAAAAUAUUGCUAAGUGGGAAACGAUGUGGGAAGGCACAGACAGCUAGGAGGUUGGCUUAGAAGCAGCCACCCUUUAAAGAAAGCGUAAUAGCUCACUAGUCGAGUCGGCCUGCGCGGAAGAUGUAACGGGGCUAAGCAAUAUACCGAAGCUGCGGCAGCAUGUUUACAUGCUGGGUAGGGGAGCGUUGUGUAAGUGGAUGAAGGUGAGUUGUAAAGCUUGCUGGACAUAUCACAAGUGCGAAUGCUGACAUGAGUAACGAUAAUGGGAGUGAAAAACUCCCACGCCGGAAGACCAAGGUUUCCUGUCCCAUGCUAAUCAGGGCAGGGUAAGUCGGCCCCUAAGGCGAGGCAGAAAUGCGUAGUCGAUGGGAAACGGAUUAAUAUUUCCGUACUUAUAUAAUCAGUGAUGGAGGGACGGAGAAGGCUAGGCAAGCUUGGCGUUGGUUGUCCAAGUGAAAGUGUGUAGGCCGAGCGUUUAGGUAAAUCCGGACGCUUAAAGUCGAGACACGAGACGAGCUCCCAAGGGAGUGAAGUUGUUGAUGCCCUGCUUCCAGGAAAAGCUUCUAAACUUAUGAUUAUAUGAACCGUACCCCAAACCGACACAGGUGGUCAGGUAGAGAAUACUAAGGCGCUUGAGAGAACUCGGGUGAAGGAACUCGGCAAAAUUGUACCGUAACUUCGGGAGAAGGUACGCCUCUGUUUGUGAACACUUUACGUGGUAAGCAAAUGGAGGCCGCAGUGACCAGGUGGCUGGGACUGUUUAUUAAAAACACAGCACUCUGCAAACUCGUAAGAGGACGUAUAGGGUGUGACACCUGCCCGGUGCCGGAAGGUUAAUUGAUGGGGUUAGUUUUCGGACGAAGCUCUUGAUCGAAGCCCCGGUAAACGGCGGCCGUAACUAUAACGGUCCUAAGGUAGCGAAAUUCCUUGUCGGGUAAGUUCCGACCUGCACGAAUGGUGUAACCAUGGCCACGCUGUCUCCACCCGAGACUCAGUGAAAUUGAAAUCGCAGUGAAGAUGCUGUGUACCCGCACCUAGACGGAAAGACCCCGUGAACCUUUACUACAGCUUGGCACUGAACAUUGAACCUACAUGUGUAGGAUAGGUGGGAGGCUUGAAGCACAGUCGCUAGAUUGUGUGGAGCCGUCCUUGAAAUACCACCCUUGUAUGUUUGAUGUUCUAACAUAGGUCCCUUAUCGGGAUUGUGGACAGUGUCUGGUGGGUAGUUUGACUGGGGCGGUCUCCUCCCAAAUAGUAACGGAGGAGCACGAAGGUUAGCUAAUCACGGUCGGACAUCGUGAGGUUAGUGCAAUGGCAUAAGCUAGCUUAACUGCGAGACAGACACGUCGAGCAGGUACGAAAGUAGGUCAUAGUGAUCCGGUGGUUCUGUAUGGAAGGGCCAUCGCUCAACGGAUAAAAGGUACUCCGGGGAUAACAGGCUGAUACCGCCCAAGAGUUCAUAUCGACGGCGGUGUUUGGCACCUCGAUGUCGGCUCAUCACAUCCUGGGGCUGAAGUCGGUCCCAAGGGUAUGGCUGUUCGCCAUUUAAAGUGGUACGCGAGCUGGGUUUAGAACGUCGUGAGACAGUUCGGUCCCUAUCUGGUGUGGGCGUUGGAUGAUUGAUGGGAGCUGCUCCUAGUACGAGAGGACCGGAGUGGACGAACCGCUGGUGUUCGGGUUGUCAUGCCAAUGGCAUUGCCCGGUAGCUAUGUUCGGAACGGAUAACCGCUGAAAGCAUCUAAGCGGGAAGCCGGCCCAAAGAUGAGUCAUCCCUGACCUUUAAGGUCUGGAAGGGUUGUUAUAGACGAUGACGUUGAUAGGCAGGGUGUGGAAGCGUUGUAAGGCGUUAAGCUAACCUGUACUAAUUGCCCGAGAGGCUUAACCAU